rnacentral:rRNA from 1 species
GAUGAACGCUGGCGGCGUGCCUAAUACAUGCAAGUCGAGCGAACAGACGAGAAGCUUGCUCCUCUGACGUUAGCGGCGGACGGGUGAGUAACACGUGGAUAACCUACCUAUAAGACUGGGAUAACUUCGGGAAACCGGAGCUAAUACCGGAUAAUAUAUUGAACCGCAUGGUUCAAUAGUGAAAGACGGUUUUGCUGUCACUUAUAGAUGGAUCCGCGCCGCAUUAGCUAGUUGGUAAGGUAACGGCUUACCAAGGCGACGAUGCGUAGCCGACCUGAGAGGGUGAUCGGCCACACUGGAACUGAGACACGGUCCAGACUCCUACGGGAGGCAGCAGUAGGGAAUCUUCCGCAAUGGGCGAAAGCCUGACGGAGCAACGCCGCGUGAGUGAUGAAGGUCUUCGGAUCGUAAAACUCUGUUAUUAGGGAAGAACAAAUGUGUAAGUAACUAUGCACGUCUUGACGGUACCUAAUCAGAAAGCCACGGCUAACUACGUG